GCUACUACCGAUUGAAUGGUUUAGUGAGGACUCCUGAUUGGCGCCGCCGCCCCGGCAACGGAGCAGCGGACUGCCGAAAAGUUGUUCAAACUUGCUCAUUUAGAGGAAGUAAAAGUCGUAACAAGGUUUCCGUAGGUGAACCUGCAGAAGGAUCAAGAUCGGAAGAGCGUCGUGUUGGGUAUUAGUUUAGAUCUCUGUUUUCGCCGUAUCAUUACAUAUACAUUUUUUUUCUUCUUCUUCUUUCUUUUUUUCUUUUUUUUCUUUUUUUUUCUUUUUU
rnacentral:misc_RNA from 1 species